GACUCAUCCACAAUGACGCUGUGGCUAGGAGAUGGGAACAGCAGGUUACCAGGGUAUGCCACACAUCAAUUAGGAGUUGCAGACUAUAAAUGCAUGGAAAUUUCCAGGAGGCUUGUCUGAUCCAGGUGAAGAUAUUGGUAAGUCCCUAAAUGUUGGGCUAAAUCAAUGAAUGGAGCAAGUGAUCACAACUCCACUGAAGUCCACUGAUUUGUGUCCUUCAAUUUUAGUUGGCUGGAACAGAGAUACAUAAUCCAAAAUAGCUUUGUUGUGACUAGUUUAUCACUUUUUGUAACUGACGGCUAAGAGAUUAAGUGACACGAUCCUGCAUCCUAAAGGCCCCUUCAAGAAGGUGACUAAAGCUUCACCAUAAUCAGAGCAGAAAGCCUGUUUUUGACACAUUUAAACUCAUUCCACAUUUCCACUUAAGCAGUCCUUUCUUAGGCUUGUUGCAUUUUCUAUUCUUAUUAUACCACAUGCAAGGAAGAUGAAUUUGAUUAGUAUAGCACAGAAAUAAAAUUGAAAAUCUUCAAGCACAACCUAGGAUACCAGUGAGCCCAUCAAUAAUAAGAGUAAAAAUCCCUGCUUCCACCUACAUUUACAUGCUUUGUCUGGCUUGUCUGCUUAUAUUGGAAGCUCUUUGAGGCAGCAUCUAUAUAAGCUCUAUGUAAGUCUACCAAAUUGGGCCUCUGCUUUCAGAUGGAGAUGAGGCACUAUUGUAAUACAAAUAAUAAUACUUAAAGAAAGAGAGCUUACACCAAGGGUUGAGGAAAUAAUUCACUUAUAACUAUAUAAAGUAGGUGGUGGUUCAUACUACUGCUUUAGAGGGUAACAGUAUAAAUGAGUUUACAGAUCAGAAGUUUAUGCAAAGUCUAAAAUUAGGAGGGGGAAGAGAGGAGAGAGAGACACAGAGAGGAAGAUGAUACUGUCUCUACAUUUCCUCCUUUCCCCCCAUCCAAAAGGUGCAUAGACUGUAAUUUUAAAUGUAUAUAUGAAAAUAAUUAUGUAAGUGUUGAGUUCAAAAGUUACCUCCAGUGAGCAGUAUUAUGGUUUUUUGUAUUUAUAUGGAGGAAUCUAGCCUUAAGCAGUUACUGUGAGAUUUUUAUCAUCUGUGUUUUUCUGAUGAGUAAACCAAGAAAUAAAGUUACCUGGAGUCAUAAAGAAAGUCUGGCAGCACAAGGAACAGAACCCAACUUUCCCUAAUCCAAUUCUGUAUCUUAAGCACAUGCAUACGAUGUCCACAGUAAUGUCCCAAGUCGUACAUGGUACUAUUGUUAAUGUCCAUGCAGAGAACAGUUUACCAUUGUACGACUUGCCUCCAGCCAUUCAGUACAAUUUCAAAAACUGUUUUAGCACUUUCAUUCAAACAAUUGCCCUUUUCCUGCAUAUUUGCUAGAAAAUUUAUCUUCAUAUUUAGUUGAUGUUUCAAGCAUGUAUCAUUUUGUGAAAUGGAGGUUUAUUUAUCUAAGACAUAUUUAUGUUUGCAGAAGAGUACAGGAUGCUAUGAUUAUAUACUCUGUGCUUUGGGGUAUCUGUCCAUUACUAGUUAAACAAAAAUGGAGAGGAAAGGGUGUGUAAGGCUGUACACUAUGGAUUAUGUAUUAUGAAUUAUUACACAACAGAUGGUAAAAAUAUUGCAGCAUUAGCAACAGCUUCAGUGUAAAAAUACUGUACACAGGAUCCCUGUGAGCAGUGUCCCUCUAAAAUAGGUGAAGCUGUAGUUGUUGUAUAGCGGUGCCAGAAAAUAAAUAACCAGAAAAAAAGAAUGGGAAAAGAGUUUAAACUAAGUUAGACAAAUUCAUGGAGGACGUGUUUACUGAGAGCUAUUGACUAGAACAGUAAUGAGAUGUAUCCUCUGAUAUCCCUAAAACCAAUGACAGUUAAUGACUUAGAGAGUAUGACAGAGGAUAGAUUAUUCUAGAUAUUCCCUGUUCAUAUACUGUCCCUCUAAACAAGUACUAUUUGCCAUGGUCUGAGAAAAUACUGGGCUAAAUGGACCACUGGUCUAACUCCCUACAUUCUACAUUCUCAAAACAUAUUCCUUAAAGUUCCCUUUAAGACACUAUUACAUAAUAUACUACUGAAAUCAGCAUUAGGAAAUAAACUAUAUAACAUCUUGAUAUUUAAAGAUAUAUAAAUUAAUGCAGCAUAAAAUAAAGCAGAGCAGAACUUAGUUUUCAUUAAGCCUUAUAAACUCACAAACAUUUAAGGACCCAACUU